rnacentral:rRNA from 1 species
UACGAAGGGGGCUAGCGUUGCUCGGAAUCACUGGGCGUAAAGGGUGCGUAGGCGGGUCUUUAAGUCAGGGGUGAAAUCCUGGAGCUCAACUCCAGAACUGCCUUUGAUACUGAGGAUCUUGAGUUCGGGAGAGGUGAGUGGAACUGCGAGUGUAGAGGUGAAAUUCGUAGAUAUUCGCAAGAACACCAGUGGCGAAGGCGGCUCACUGGCCCGAUACUGACGCUCAGGCACGAAAGCGUGGGGAGCAAAAGGG